GACGAACGCUGGCGGCGUGCUUAACACAUGCAAGUCGAACGCUGAAGCUUGGUGCUUGCACUGGGUGGAUGAGUGGCGAACGGGUGAGUAAUACGUGAGUAACCUGCCCUUGACUCUGGGAUAAGCCUGGGAAACUGGGUCUAAUACUGGAUACGACAUGUCACCGCAUGGUGGUGUGUGGAAAGGGUUUUACUGGUUUUGGAUGGGCCCACGGCCUAUCAGCUUGUUGGUGGGGUAAUGGCUCACCAAGGCGACGACGGGUAGCCGGCCUGAGAGGGUGACCGGCCACACUGGGACUGAGACACGGCCCAGUCUCCUACGGGAGGCAGCAGUGGGGAAUAUUGCACAAUGGGCAGAAGCCUGAUGCAGCGACGCCGCGUGAGGGAUGACGGCCUUCGGGUUGUAAACCUCUUUCAGCACGGAAGAAGCGAAAGUGACGGUACGUGCAGAAGAAGCGCCGGCUAACUACGUG
rnacentral:rRNA from 1 species